GACGAACGCUGGCGGCGUGCUUAACACAUGCAAGUCGAGCGGCGCGGCGAACGGGUGCGUAACGCGUGAGUAACUUCCCCCCCCUCUGGGCUAACAGUUAGAAACGGCUGCUAAUACCGGAUAGUGUGGGUUGACUCGCGUCCUAUCAGCUUGUUGGUGGGGUAGUGGCCUACAAAGGCGACGACGGGUAGCCGGCCUGAGAGGGCGACCGGCCACAUUGGGCUGAGAUACGGCCCGAACUCCUACGGGAGGCAGCAGUGGGGAAUAUUGCACAAUGGGGGAAACCCUAAUGCAGCAACGCCGCGGGCGGGAUAAGGGCCUUCGGGUUGUAAAGUACUUUCAGCGAGAAGGAAGGUUAAUAACCUUGGUGAUUGACGUUACUCGCAGAAGAAGCACCGGCUAACUCCGUGCCAGCAGCCGCGGUAAUAC
rnacentral:rRNA from 1 species